GGCACAAGCGGUGGAGGCAUGUGGUUUAAUUCGAUGAUACGCGAGGAACCUUACCUGGCUCAAAUGUAUGUUGACGUAUUCUGAAAGGGAUACUUCUUCGGACAAUAUACAAGGUGCUGCAUGGUUGUCGUCAGCUCGUGCCGUGAGGUGUCGGGUUAAGUCCCAUAACGAGCGCAACCCCUAUCAUUAGUUGCCAUCAGGUCAAGCUGGGGACUCUAAUGAAACUGCCUACGCAAGUAGUGAGGAAGGUGGGGAUGACGUCAAAUCAGCACGGCCCUUACGUCCAGGGCUACACACGUGCUACAAUGGCCGGUACAAAGGGCAGCUACCUGGUGACAGGAUGCUAAUCUCAAAAGCCGGUCUCAGUUCGGAUCGGAGUCUGCAACCCGACUCCGUGAAGCUGGAAUCGCUAGUAAUCGUGAAUCAGAAUGUCACGGUGAAUACGUUCCCGGGCCUU
rnacentral:rRNA from 1 species